AUGUUCAGCAAAUGGAGGCACAGAGAUUUACAUUCUUUGCGGAAGGUGACACAAUUGGCAACUGGGCCUCGGCUGCAAAUCCAGGAGUCUGGCGCCAAUGUCUGGGCCCCUGACUCCUCACUGCAUCACGAUAAAACAAGCCCGGGGGCCCACCCCCGUGCUGAACCGCAGGCAGGCAGCUCGGCAGCCUGUAGUCUCUUGGUCAGUCUCCACGGCUGGCCAGCGCCACAGCCACCGUGCAUUGUCUCCGAGAGGCUGCUUGAAUGUGGCGCAUCAGUGCACCUUCUUAGACCUGUUUUGCUAACUGUGCUUUUCUGUGCCCGUUUGAAUUUAGGAAAAAAUCCCGAAUUUCUCGAUUGUUCCAAGGAGAGGAAGAAUGGAAGAAACAGCAGCUUUCACCUUGGAGCAGGGCCUGAGAGCUGUAGCGUGUCUCCCAGGCCAGCGCUGCCACUGGGACUCUGGGACCAAACAAAAAGAAGAACGAAAGCAGAAUCAAGAUUCAGAUUCAUGUAGACCAGUGGUCGUAACAGGUAUAUGUUGAUGCCUCCGUGAAAAAGAAGAGACAGGAAAAAUCAAAGAAGUGACAUAAAGUUCUUUUCUUGAAAAAUAACAAGAAAAAAGGCAAAACCAAUGGUACAUUUCUGUAAGAUACAUUUCGGGAAGAAGGAAAAUGAUCUCAUGAGAAAUGUCUGUGAGAAGAAAUCAUGCAAGAAGAAAUGCAGCACAAAGAAAGUAGUUAAAAUGAGUGAAAAUGUAAACACCAUAGACUCUAUUGAUCAUGUCCAGUUUUUAAUGUUUAAAGAAAACAAAUGAAACCUACAUUUUGUGGAAGACCAAGCAAGCUGGGAACGGAAUGAGCAGAUUUAAAACAUUGUAAAGCUCUUUAAUGAUUUGGAAGAAAGAUAACAUGCUAAUAUACUCUGAACUGUUUUCAUUUACAUGUCUAUAAUGAUUUAAAGAAUACCAAUUCAAAAGUAUAGAAAUUAACUGUAAAACUUCAUGGAAAAGUAAAAUGAGAAGUUAAAAACAAACAAAGGCCUCUACUAGUCUGAAAAGAGGAAAAUAAAUUAAAUAAAAAAAACA
rnacentral:lncRNA from 1 species